UGGGGAAUAUUGGACAAUGGGCGAAAGCCUGAUCCAGCAAUGCCGCGUGAGUGAUGAAGGCCUUAGGGUUGUAAAGCUCUUUUACCCGGGAUGAUAAUGACAGUACCGGGAGAAUAAGCCCCGGCUAACUCCGUGCCAGCAGCCGCGGUAAUACGGAGGGGGCUAGCGUUGUUCGGAAUUACUGGGCGUAAAGCGCGCGUAGGCGGCUUUGUAGGUUAGAGGUGAAAGCCCGGAGCUCAACUCCGGAACUGCCUUUAAGACUGCAUCACUUGAACGUCGGAGAGGUAAGUGGAAUUCCGAGUGUAGAGGUGAAAUUCGUAGAUAUUCGGAAGAACACCAGUGGCGAAGGCGACUUACUGGACGACUGUUGACGCUGAGGUGCGAAAGCGUGGGGAGCAAACAGG
rnacentral:rRNA from 1 species